rnacentral:misc_RNA from 1 species
GGCGUUCAUUAGGUCGGUGCCGGCAGGCUCCCAAUCGAUUCGGACGCCGUCACCUUGAUCACCGUUCUGCACCGCGAACACUGUCGGCUGUGAGUGAUGGCGGUCGAGACAGACGCGAACCGCCUCAUGGAAGCUGAGAGCGAUGCCCUCAGAAAUGCCAGAAUGACGUUCAUUCAGUCGCUCGAUCGGUAAGAGCGUUAGCUGCUCGUCCAUCACGGCUUAGAUCUAUCAAAUCUGCGUUGCGACUGUCGCUGUAUU